rnacentral:rRNA from 1 species
CAGUCGCCGCGGUAAUACGAAGGGUGCAAGCGUUAAUCGGAAUUACUGGGCGUAAAGCGUGCGUAGGCGGUUUGUUAAGUCUGUUGUGAAAUCCCCGGGCUCAACCGGGGAAUGGCAAUGGAUACUGGCAAGCUAGAGUGUGUCAGAGGAUGGUGGAAUUCCCGGUGUAGCGGUGAAAUGCGUAGAGAUCGGGAGGAACAUCAGUGGCGAAGGCGGCCAUCUGGGACAACACUGACGCUGAGGCACGAAAGCGUGGGGAGCAAACAGGAUUAGAUACCCGCGUAGUCCCUGUCUCUUAUAC